rnacentral:lncRNA from 1 species
AGAGACCAAAUGACACAAAAAUUAACAACUAUAGCUUACAUGUACCUUCAACAAAGAGCAUACCACAUAGCUAUAAAAGGCCCCAAAAGACAUAUGUAAAACAAUUCAAACAAGAAAAUUAACAAACUAAUUAAUGUACAAAAAAAAAUUUAGAAAUUAUUUCAUACUUUCAUUUUGCAAAAAAAACAAAGAAAUUGUUCCAGAC